CCUACGGGUGGCAGCAGUGAGGAAUAUUGGUCAAUGGACGGAAGUCUGAACCAGCCACGCCGCGUGCAGGAAGAAGGCUCUAUGAGUUUUAAACUGCUUUUGUACAAGAGUAAACCUGAAUACGUAUAUUCAGCUGAAACUACUGUACGAAUAAGGAUCGGCUAACUCCGUGCCAGCCGCCGCGGUAAUACGGCGGAUCCUAGCGUUAUCCGGAUUUAUUUGGUUUAAAGGGUACGUAGGCGGUUUGGUAAGUUAGAGGUGAAAUGUCCGAGCUUAACUGGGGAAGUGCCUUUGAUACUGUUGAUCUAGAGAGUAGGUGAGGUAGGCGGAAUGCAUGGUGUAGCGGUGAAAUGAUUAGAGAUCAUAAAGAACACCGAUUGCGAAGGCAGCUUACCAAUCUAUAUCUGACGCUGAGGCACGAAAGCGUGGGGAGCAAACAGGAUUAGAUACCCCAGUAGUC
rnacentral:rRNA from 1 species